CAGGGAGGAGCUGAGCUGUUACUGAACUAUAGAAGAGACACAAACUUCCACAUUCAACACAGUUCAAACAUUAACUCUGAUCAUCAUGGACUAUUAUGGACUUUCUCUGCUGGUCGCCUCACUGCUAACAGGGAUCAGAUGUAAUCAAUUGACUCCACAUAAUGCGGAAGUUAUCAGCUUGAAGGAAACUUCUGUUAUUCUGAGCUACAAUUUUUCUACACAAGCAACUGCUUCUGAUUAUUUCUUCUGGUAUCGACAAUAUCCUGGAAAACCUCCAGAGUUCCUGAUCUCUCACUUAGGAACUGGAAAAGAAAUAUCUCAGGGGGUUCCUGGUUUUUCCUUCAAAGUGAGUGAUGAUAAAACCCAGAUGGAGCUGCUGAUCUCCUCUGCUGAGCUGACUGACUCUGCUGUGUACUACUGUGCUGUGAGGCCCACAGUGACAGGAAACACCAGAACUCUGUACUAG